rnacentral:rRNA from 1 species
UUUGAAAGUAAAAAGUCGUAACAAGGUCUCCGUUGGUGAACCAGCGGAGGGAUCAUUACCGAGUUUACAACUCCCAAACCCCUGUGAACAUACCUUAAUGUUGCCUCGGCGGAUCAGCCCGCGCCCCGUAAAACGGGACGGCCCGCCAGAGGACCCAAACUCUAAUGUUUCUUAUUGUAACUUCUGAGUAAAACAAACAAAUAAAUCAAAACUUUCAACAACGGAUCUCUUGGUUCUGGCAUCGAUGAAGAACGCAGCAAAAUGCGAUAAGUAAUGUGAAUUGCAGAAUUCAGUGAAUCAUCGAAUCUUUGAACGCACAUUGCGCCCGCUGGUAUUCCGGCGGGCAUGCCUGUUCGAGCGUCAUUUCAACCCUCAAGCCCCCGGGUUUGGUGUUGGGGAUCGGCUCUGCCAUUCUGGGCGGUGCCGCCCCCGAAAUACUUUGGCGGUCUCGCUGCAGCCUCCAUUGCGUAGUAGCUAACACCACGGCAGACGGUAACGCGGCGCGGCCCAUGCCGUUAAACCCCGCGACAUCGGAAAGUGGACCACGGAUCCGCGAUGGAUCGACGGCCUA